rnacentral:lncRNA from 1 species
UUCAAAGAAAGGAACGAUGUGGACCUGACCUCAAAGAAAUCCAUUGGAGAAUAUGACAGAUUUAGAUUUAAUGAUCAACUUUACUUUUCCUAUACAGAUGGGAAAACAGCCUGCAAAAAUGUUAAGUAGCUUCCUCAGGAUCAAGUACUAUUGGAGCCAGCAUUGGUGGUCAAUCCUGUAUAGAAAUGACUUCAGUUGUAGAUCUGUGACCUUCCUUACUUACCUUCCUCUACCAAAGUGGGUCAACCAAAACCGCAUGGCGUACUACUCUCUGAAGCCUCUACUACCCUGCUCCUCCGUGUUGACAUGUGGUCAGGCAAGCCAGGACUUACUCACAUCAGCUACAUCAGUUACUGGGAUGGAGAAAAUUGAAGCCUAGAAAGAUCAAGAAACUUUCUCCAGGCCAUAAAUAGAGGAAUCAGGAUUCAAAUCAGAUAGACCCCAGGGCUUGUUCUCUUCAACACCACAUUACCCUACAUUAUUAUUCAAUUAUUAAAUAAAACCUUGCAUUAGUGGCAUUUCCAAAUGCAUAACAAAAAAAUAAAAAAAAGUAACACUGGUCAAAAAAAAAAAAAAA